UACGUAGGGAGCAAGCGUUGUCCGGAAUCAUUGGGCGUAAAGCGCGCGUAGGUGGCUUCGUAAGUCCGUUGUGAAAGUCAAAGGCUCAACCUUUGAAAGCCGAUGGAUACUGUGGAGCUAGAGUACGGAAGAGGCGAGUGGAAUUCCUGGUGUAGCGGUGGAAUGCGCAGAUAUCAGGGGGAACACCAAUAGCGAAGGCAGCUCGCUGGGACGUACUGACACUGAGGCGCGAAAGCGUGGGGAGCGAACAGG
rnacentral:rRNA from 1 species